rnacentral:rRNA from 1 species
AGUGAACGCUGGCGGUAGGCCUAACACAUGCAAGUCGAACGGCAGCACAGUAAGAGCUUGCUCUUACGGGUGGCGAGUGGCGGACGGGUGAGGAAUACAUCGGAAUCUACUUUUUCGUGGGGGAUAACGUAGGGGAACUUACGCUAAUACCGCAUACGACCUACGGGUGAAAGCAGGGGAUCUUCGGACCUUGCGCGAUUGAAUGAGCCGAUGUCGGAUUAGCUAGUUGGCGGGGUAAAGGCCCACCAAGGCGACGAUCCGUAGCUGGUCUGAGAGGAUGACCAGCCACACUGGAACUGAGACACGGUCCAGACUCCUACGGGAGGCAGCAGUGGGGAAUAUUGGACAAUGGGCGCAAGCCUGAUCCAGCCAUACCGCGUGGGUGAAGAAGGCCUUCGGGUUGUAAAGCCCUUUUGUUGGGAAAGAAAAGCAGCAGGUUAAUACCCCGCUGUUCUGACGGUACCCAAAGAAUAAGCACCGGCUAACUUCGUG